rnacentral:rRNA from 1 species
GAUGAACGCUGGCGGCGUGCCUAAUACAUGCAAGUCGAGCGAACAGACGAGGAGCUUGCUCCUCUGACGUUAGCGGCGGACGGGUGAGUAACACGUGGAUAACCUACCUAUAAGACUGGGAUAACUUCGGGAAACCGGAGCUAAUACCGGAUAAUAUAUUGAACCGCAUGGUUCAAUAGUGAAAGACGGUUUUGCUGUCACUUAUAGAUGGAUCCGCGCCGCAUUAGCUAGUUGGUAAGGUAACGGCUUACCAAGGCGACGAUGCGUAGCCGACCUGAGAGGGUGGUCGGCCACACUGAAACGGAAACGCGGCCCAGCCCCCAGGGGGGGGCAGAAGUGGGGAUUUUUCCGAAAGGGGAGAAGCCCUGACGGAAAAACGCGGCGGGAGUGAGAAGGGUCUUGGGAUGGUAAACCUUUUUUAUAGGGAAAAAAAAAAUGUGAAAGAAACUAGGCACGCUUGGACGAAACUAAAAAAAAACCCCCGGUCAACUUCGG